rnacentral:rRNA from 1 species
AUGAAUUAUGCUUAUGGAGAUGAACUUUCUAUAGUUCCUUAUGUUAAACAUGAAAUUGCUGCUAUUGCACCCACGCAUGAUAGUUCUAUUAUCUUUUUCAAUUCUCCCAACUACACUAUAUCGGAGAAGUUUGUGCUUACUAAGGAUUAUAUUGAUGGGUUACCUUUUACCGUUGCACAUGAUGAUUUUGAUGAAUAUAAUAUGCAUGUGCUUGCUGCUCCUACUUGCAAUUAUUAUGAGAGAGGAACUACAUCUCCGCCUCUGUAUGUUUCCAACACGAUAGAAUUGCAAGAAACUGCUUAUACUAUGCAUUGGCCUUUACUUGGUGUGCAUGAAUUGUUCUUUUAUGACAUGCUGAUGCAUAGGAACAGAGUUAGACUUUGUUGUUGCAUGAUAUAUGUUACUUUGUGCUCACUACUAAAUUACAAAUCAUUGUUAAUUAAAAUUUUCUUUGAUAUAGCUUGGGAUCUGGGUGGAUCCAUUACUUGA